GUCGGGGCGAAGUCGGAAGAGCGAGCGGAGUCCCCCAGCAGGAGACUCAGGGGCGCAGGACCCCCCCGACCGCAAGUCCACCUCCCCCAGGCAGAUCCACCCCGCUGACCUGGUGGUGUCCGCCGCCCCUUACGCUCGCCGCAGCUUAGAGCGAAGUGGGGGGCGAGGUGGAGGGGGCUCCCCAUGCAAGUCGCCCUCCUCCCCCACCCCCACCAUCACCUCCGCCUACCCCAUCACGCCCAACCUCUGCGUCACGGGCGGGAAGAUCGAGUUUAUCACGCCCCCAGAUUCCACCUUGUCUUCGACGGCCUCGCGAUGCUCCACGCUUAAGCUCUCUCCGUCGACGCAGAAGGAGGUGCUCAUCGAGUCCCCCUCCGGCCACCCCCUCGAGGAGCAGGAACAUGCUACCCCGCCCUCGACACUCUCCUCCGCCUCCUCCUCCUCCUCCUCCUCGUCUUCGGCUGCUUCUAAGGACAUCGCGCCACAGAUUUACUCUGUAAGGGUUGAAGCGAGUGGUGAGGGCGAGCCCCUGCAGGACGAGUGCCAGGAGCCCCCACCCAGUCAGGACCGAGGGCAGCAGCAGCACAGGCAGAGGUCUCAUGCCCACGCCAAGGAGGAGAGUGCAAUAGAGGCCAAUAUGGAUGGCGGAGAGAAGAAGCAGAGUGGAAGAUGGAAGGUAGAGGAGCUGAAGAGGGAGAACGAGGAGGUGAAAUCAAGACUGUCCUCCUUGCAGAAAGAGUUUACCUUGUUGGAGGAACAAGUGCGUGUAUUAAUGGCUGAGCGUCAAGAAGUGGAGAAAAAGCAGCGUGCAGAGCAUGAGGCCCAAGAACUAGCCUACGUGUCCAAGUUACAGCAGUAUCAGGCCACCAUUGCAGCGCUUGACCAAUGCAACCCGACUGUUGUAGAAGAGAACCCCCCCAUCCAACACACAAAGGUGCCGUCAGAAGAGUUCCAAUACCACAAGGAGGCCCUUAUUAGUAAUGAAUCUGUUGUGCAGAUGCUGGCAGAACGGUGUCGCACACUGGAGCAGGCCAAUAAGAAAUUACAGUCCGAGGCGCGGGCACAACAGCAGCAGUACGAAGUGUGUUUAGACCGCGUCGCUACACAGGUCGUCCAAGCUCUCCUCUCGCAGAAGUCACAUCAAGAGCAGUGUGUGAAGUUGGCCAACCAGGUCCAGGCUCUCAGACGUCAGAACGCAGCCCUCUCCUCAUUGGUUGGCCACGGGUCCUCCCCUCAGACCCUGCCCUGCUCCUACCGGCAUGGUUGUGCGCCCCUUGCCGACCCCCCUACCUUUCUCAGUCUCCCAACAUCGUUCACAAAGAACAGACAGACUGAGCAGUGGCCACCAGGAGGAUGGGUAGCCUCUUGGCAUGUGGAGGAGAGCAGCAGAAGUCAUUUGAGUGACAAUGCCUCCUCCCAGAAUCGUUUUCAUUCGAGCUUACAAUUACUCUCUGACACUAGUCUCCAGCCCAGGCUCUCACUCUCGGACCACAACACCACUUCGAGCAGUGCACAAAUGGGGGAGGACUGCUACACCCCUCAGGAAAGAACAUCCUGUACCUCAGCUGCUAAUUCCUCUACAAAUACUGCAACAACAACGUGCUGGUACGACAUCAUAACUUCUCUGAGCUUAACGACAACUUCUCAAACAGCAGCUGUCAGGAGUGCUCAGGGUCAUGCAGCCGUUGCAAGAUCUCACGACACCAACAACAUUUGGCAUCAACAAGACCCCUUGCUUAGCAGCACUGGGAGAAACAGUAGCAGCAGUAGCAGCAGCAGCACUGACUGUCCCCUUCAGGCCCACUACCACCAGAAAUCGGGUGGGCACCAGACCAACAUAGCAGAUUCUCCUGGUGGGUCUGGGAACCUGGAGGACAUGGGGACAUCUCUGGCACCCAGAGGAGAAAGUGGCAUGCAGAAGUUUUCUCCUUUGUCAUUGGAAUCAGCAGUUACUAGCACGAGCAGUUCCCCAGAGCAGAAGAACUGUCAUGUGUCCCAGUCAACAAUGGAUAACCUUGACUUAAAGGACUCAAAGGUGAAAGUUCUUGAAAAUAAGGAAAUAUUAAAUCAUACCUCAAGUGAAAUCAAUGCAAACCUCCUUGUUAAUAAUGUAAGUAAAGAUGAAAUUAGCAACAUACUUCAAGUGAAAGGGGAAUUAUUAAAGACGUUAACAGAGGCAACCAAUAAACAGUAUCCAAUUGAUUUAGCAGUAUUCACAUGUGAGGACAAGAGCAAGGGUGCAUUAAAUAAGAACUUGGCCAAAGUUAGUUCUAAGGUUAGUAAUAGUGAAAGGACCAAUAGUAAUGAUGGCAGCACAGCAGAGGAAGGUGCAGAAGUAACCACCAAGGAUGAAGGUUACUCCACCAUGUCCAGUGACGUUCAGGCAGAGGUUAAGGAAAGUGUAACUAUUAGUUCUGUGACAACUGUGCAAGAAGAACCUCUGACUCUUGUUCCUGUCAGUGAGAGCGGCAGUCAGGAAACUGCCAGCGUUGUGGGUGACAUGUCCUUAAGUAAAGGGUCUAGUAACAAGAGUGAAAAUGAUUCAACAGACAAAAUUAGUGUUAAGGAGAGAAAGGUAUCCAAUACAAAUAAUGAGUACUGUGAUGGUCUUCGUGUUAUAUAUGAUGAAGAAGACAACAAUUCAGAUGUAUUUUUUAUACCAAUUCAAGAACCAGAAAAUGAGAGCUUGUAUAGACAUAGUUAUCAUGUACCAUCUAAUACGGAACCGAGAUUGCCAGCUCGAUGGUACUCAGAUUCCCAGCUCUACAAAGAAAGGAGAAAUGCUCAAGGUCAUAAAAUUGUCGCUAGUCUUGAUAGACAUGUGUCCGUAAAAGAUCUUGCAGAGAGGACUGCCUCCACUGCAGAAGUGUUGGAAGAAGCCUGCAACACCAGGAGCUUGAAAAGAUCCUCAGCGCAGGCAAGUCUCAAAAGAGCCAAUCUUCGUAAAAGAGAAGAACAACCUACCUCAGGCAGCAGUGAAGAACUGUGGCCACUGGAGGACGACCACAGAAAGUAUCUCUCUCCUACCUACAGCCAUGCUGAGCUAGAGGACUGGUCACUUGACUUGUCAUCUGAAUAUCUGAGUGGUGCAUGUGGGGAGGGCGAAGGGAGUGAGAGUGUGGGUACGAGUGGGGCCCACCAUGGAUCUCUGCCGUCCAUCCAGGAAGCCACGCCCGAACUUGAGGAGGACAAUAACGAGUUCCUCUGGAAUGGUGCUACGUACUUUAAAACUGAUUUAGAUUUAGACUGGUCAAGUAAAAAGGAAAUGACCAAAAGCUGGCAGUUGGAUCAUGCGAAGGAGAAUCAGAUAGUAAUGUCUCCUCGAUCUGGGUGCUCUGACCAGCCUGCAGUGUGGUCUAGCAGUGAGCAGCUUUCAUGCUGUUCCGAAGGGGUUUCAAAGUGCAGUUCCGAUUUUGAAAAUUUCUGUGAACAGAUAUGUAAUUUGCCUGAACUGAAAAGGGUAUCCUUUUGCAGUAGUGAGUUAGGGGGUCAGGAAGCCUCUAAAGGUGCAAGCCACGACACCUCGAGUGCGGGCGAACAUGAAGAAGAACUCGCAGAUGAAAUGUGUAUUGAUACUGUUUUUACUAGAGAUUUUUACCGCCUUGUUAAGUUUGAAAGCAACCGAAGUCUUGCAGCCUCAUCUAAAAGUCUGGCCACUUCUGAUGGACUCCUCACUAUAGAGAGACUACAAGACUUGGAAUCUAGUGGAUCACGCAAAGAGGCAUUAGCAUCUGUCCUUGGUUUUAUUGCAGAACAGCAGAAGUAUUGCAAGGAGAGAGAAGCUCAGGAUGAAAAAGUUGGCAGUAGUCACUCUAGAGAUAUGUUGAAGAUUGCCAAUGCUAUUGAAUGUGCUGGAUCUCCUUUAGCCUCUGUUCUCUUUAGGGGAACAUUUCCAAAGUCUGCACUUCGUGAAGGUACCGGUGACCAUAUUAAAGCCUCGGAGGAAUUCUCCAUGAGGACUCUACCCACAAAAUCAUGGAAGCAAAGUAACUCAGUGAAGAGUAAAGUUGGUCCAGCUGUUCCUGCCAAACCCAGGUCAUGUUACCUUCAGGGAGGUCAACCUGGAGCUGCUACCUCUAAUGUCUUACCUACAACUCCUGCCAGAUGUCACCCUGCAGCCGCAUCCUCAUCCCUUCCAGCUGCAUCAGCUGAAUUGCCACCCGCUUCCCUCCCAGUCUUGCCGGCCACAUCUCACCCACACCCCUCUGUGCCUUCCCGGUCAUCUAGUUUGGCCCCUCUCCAAGCCAUACCUGCUUGUGAAGAGGAAGUUCCUCUCUCUCCUGUCCCUACGGUGCCCAUCAGGAAUGCCUCGCACCCUCCUGAUACAGACUCAAUUCCAGAGCAGCAGAUUUAUUGUACGCCUUGUCCUGAAGUACCUCAUCACAAUCCUCCAGUACCUGACCACAAUUGUGUGGACAUGUCUUGUUUCCCCCCGGUGCCCCGUCGCUCAUCCAGUAUGGCUUUCUGUUGCAAUGUCUUACCUGUACCCGAGCACAAGGUGUCCCUUAAUGACCCCCCACCUGUGCCCAAGCGCAUAACAAGCCGAGCCCUGCCCAAGCCUCCAGCUGUGAUAACCAGCCAGGCAUCGUUAAACAAUGCCAAUGGCACUAGCAAGAGCAGUGGUCAUGAAGGCAAGCGACCUCGGAGCUUCCUGGGACUGGGAAUAUCCAGUCCUAAGAGGCCCCAGAGUGAACAUCAUGAACUGCCCAGCCUGAGUGAAAACCCAGCAGGCAUGCUGGUAGAAUUGCAGCGAAUGGCCAAAGUGGAGGAGGAGGAAGAGGAGAAGAGACAAAGACCAAGACCUGGAGGCCUCUAUGAAGCCACAAGUCCUGGUGGGUCUGUGGGCCUUGGUACUGGCUGGGUCAGGGUCCAGCCACAUGUUGAUCUGCAAGACCCUCAGGCUCGAGCUAAUCUGUUAGAUGGGAUGAUGGAGUCAAGUGAGGGCUGCAGCUCAGAGACAGAGGACGAUGAGGGCAUGGCACACCAGUAUGCACAGCUCAGGUCUAUGCAUCGCAGUAGACGUAAGCGCAAAGGUAGACAAAUGUACACACUCCACUAAUACGACUCUUCACGUGUUGUUACCUCACCGCAGGGCUCGGCCAGGGUCAAUGCAUCACAUCGUAGCGGAGG
rnacentral:misc_RNA from 1 species